rnacentral:misc_RNA from 1 species
CUUCCAUUUCUCAUCCCUACUCUCUUAUCUCUGUUUUCAAUUAGCUCUUUUAUUUAAUGGCCGAGACACCAUCAAAACGCCUCAGAGAUGAAGCUCAAAUAGAAGAAGAUGUUAUCGUUGUUGAUGAAACUAAUAAGCGCCAUAAGUCAUAUAACCACAUACUCACUCUUCUUGAAGAAGAAGAAGAUGAAAUAACCCAAGACCUUUCUUCUCUCAUCACUACACUUCAGCAAGAACUCUCCUCUGACUCUACCUUCAACGACCCUCUUUCUUGUGUAACCACAGUAACCGACCAAGAAAACCCUAUCAAUGCCGUAACGCCCACCUUAGAAGACUGCCCAUCUUCUUCUUCUUCUUCUUCUUCUUC